GGGCAGCCCCGCAGGCGGAUGUGCUGCGUCCCUGGUCCUACCGUACUCAGUUUGAGGAGUCUCCUGCCGCCCCACCCGCAGCCCUGGGCUGCAGCAGAGCGGGUUGGUGUGUGUCAGGUUAUGUGAAUACAGACUUACCUUUUCUUGGAGGCUGUGGACUGUUAAAUUCAUCAAUAACAGUACCCUGUGUUUGUAUGAGGAAGUGCUUAGAUCCUACUGAGAUGCCCCUGAGGUAUACCACAGAUGUCUUCUUUAGUCUGAUUUCUAAUUCAGCUGAGCCCUGGGGCCUGGAAGUGGGAAAUGGAACACAAGCCAGAAGAGAGACAGCUCCUUCUUUCUCCAGCUUUCUGUCUCCUGGGAGGUACAUGCCUGUCUUCUCUCUGUCAGCCAUCAUCUCCUGCUCAGUUACCAACUUCUUAAAGGCCACAGUUGGAUAUUCUUCAUCUCAAGAAAAGGGAUUGUUUGGCAGGGCCAAGAGCUCUGAAGAAAACCAGUCCGGGAGGGAACCUUCUGUGGGGCUGAAGUGAGGCGAUACAGGCCACUUCCUCUUUUUGUUGGGGAUGCUUUCCUUUGUGUUUGAGAACUGGGACAAGG